rnacentral:rRNA from 1 species
UGGGGAAUUUUGGACAAUGGGCGCAAGCCUGAUCCAGCCAUGCCGCGUGCGGGAAGAAGGCCUUCGGGUUGUAAACCGCUUUUGUCAGGGAAGAAAUCUUCUGAGUUAAUACCUCGGGAGGAUGACGGUACCUGAAGAAUAAGCACCGGCUAACUACGUGCCAGCAGCCGCGGUAAUACGUAGGGUGCAAGCGUUAAUCGGAAUUACUGGGCGUAAAGCGUGCGCAGGCGGUUUUGUAAGACAGAGGUGAAAUCCCCGGGCUCAACCUGGGAACUGCCUUUGUGACUGCAAGGCUUGAGUGCGGCAGAGGGGGAUGGAAUUCCGCGUGUAGCAGUGAAAUGCGUAGAUAUGCGGAGGAACACCGAUGGCGAAGGCAAUCCCCUGGGCCUGCACUGACGCUCAUGCACGAAAGCGUGGGGAGCAAACAGGAUUAGAUAGCCCCUGGUAGUCCACGCCCUAAACGAUGUCAACUGGUUGUUGGGAAGGUUCCUUCUCAGUAACGUAGCUAACGCGUGAAGUUGACCGCCUGGGGAGUACGGCCGCAAGGUUGAAA